rnacentral:lncRNA from 11 species
CGCUGGCUUGCCUGAAAAACCUGUUUGCCUGCUGAUCUUAAAAAUCAUUCUUUCUCUCUCUCCCUCCUAGACAUGCAGCUAGCUGCUCAUAACAACAUUCAUCAUUGUUGUUCUGCGGGAUCAGAUUUCUCUGCAUUGUCAAAGGGUGAAUACAAUAUCUGCUCCUAGUGAUCUAAGGUACCUGUAUUCGUUUUCUAUGUUCGAUUGC